rnacentral:rRNA from 1 species
GACGAACCGUGCAAACGUUGUUCGGAAUCACUGGGCUUAAAGGGCGCGUAGGCGGAUGAGCAAGUCUGUGGUGAAAUCCCCCGGCUUAACCGGGGAACUGCCGUGGAUACUGCACAUCUCGAGGAAGAUAGGGGCGUCUGGAACUAGCGGUGGAGCGGUGAAAUGCGUUGAUAUCGCUAGGAACUCCGGUGGCGAAGGCGAGACGCUGGAUCUUUUCUGACGCUGAGGCGUGAAAGCCAGGGGAGCGAACGGG